rnacentral:rRNA from 1 species
UACAGAGGAGCCAAGCGUUGUCCGGAUUGACUGGGCGGAAAGCGCACGCAGGCGGACGCGCGCGUGGGGUGUGAAAUCUGGCCGCUUAACGGCCAGGCGCCAUCCCAUACGGCGCGUCUGGAGUGAUGCAGAGGUCGAUGGAAUUGCCGGUGUAGUGGUGAAAUGCGUAGAGAUCCGGAGGAACCCCAGAGGCGAAGGCGGCGUCCUGGCUCGCAUCUGACGCUCAGACACGAAAGCAUGGGGAGCGAACGGG